UACGUAGGGUGCAAGCGUUGUCCGGAAUUAUUGGGCGUAAAGAGCUCGUAGGCGGUCUGUCGCGUCGGCUGUGAAAACUCGGGGCUCAACUCCGAGCCUGCAGUCGAUACGGGCAGACUAGAGUGCUGUAGGGGAGACUGGAAUUCCUGGUGUAGCGGUGAAAUGCGCAGAUAUCAGGAGGAACACCGGUGGCGAAGGCGGGUCUCUGGGCCGAUACUGACGCUGAGGAGCGAAAGCGUGGGGAGCAAACAGG
rnacentral:rRNA from 1 species